rnacentral:rRNA from 1 species
UAGUUUUUUUAGAAAUAAAUUUAAUUUACAAAUUUUUAAUUUUUUAUUUAAUUAAAUAAAUAGUAAAAAUUAUUAAUUUGAAUAUUUUAAGGGAUAAGCUUUAAAAUAAAAUUUUAAAAAUUAAUAAAUUAUAAUUAAAUUGUAUGCUUAUAAUUAGCAAUCAAUAAAAAUAUUGUUAUAAAUUAUUAAUAAUUUAUAAUAUUUUAUUUAAAUUUUAAUUAUUUAUAAAAAUAUUUUAUUUAAUUAGUUAAUAAAAUAAAUAAUGAUAAAAUUAGUAUAUUUUAAUGUAUAAUAUAAAUAUAAUUGAAAAGUUUAUUUAAAGAACUCGGCAAAUUUUAUACUCGCCUGUUUAACAAAAACAUGUCUUUUUGAUUUAUACUUAUAUAUAAAGUCUGACCUGCCCAAUGAAAUAUUUUAAUGGCCGCAGUAUACUAACUGUGCAAAGGUAGCAUAAUAAUUAGUCUUUUAAUUGAAGGCUGGAAUGAAUGGUUGGACGUAGUAUAAACUGUUUCAUAUAAGUUUAAAAUAAAAUUUUAUUUUUUAGUUAAAAAGCUAAAAUUUUAUUAAAAGACGAGAAGACCCUAUAAAUCUUUAUAAUUUUUAAUUUAUUAUUUAUUUUAGUUUUUAUUUAUUUUUAUAUUAAAAAUUAUUUUAUUGGGGUGAUAUUAAAAUUUAAUAAACUUUUAAUUUAAAAUUCAUUAAUUUAUGAAUUAUUGAUCCGUUAAUAACGAUUAUAAGAUUAAGUUACUUUAGGGAUAACAGCGUAAUUUUUUUGGAGAGUUCAUAUCGAUAAAAAAGAUUGCGACCUCGAUGUUGGAUUAAGAAAAUUUUUAGGUGUAGUUGUUUAAAUAAUAAGUCUGUUCGACUUUUAAA